GCUUCCUGAGCUUCAGCUGUUAUGUCAGUUCUUUGAUAUACGCAUGUGGCGCCCUUUGUGGCUAAAUGAAAUGAAAUCAUUAGUAAAACAUAAUCAAUAUUCAUAAUAUACACUUUUACUGUCUUGCCUGCUGAAGAGGCGUUAGAAAUUUAUGCUUUUUUUAACUAUACUAAGAAGUUUUGAGUUGAUGUUGUUUUCAAUAUUGAAAAAUAGGGAAAAAUUCUGAAGAAGUAUAAAAAAACGGAUACCUAAUUCCUCUACAAAAAUGAAAAGAUAUAAAAAGAAAAAUGGUCUGAUCUAGUAGAAAGUAUAUUUCCAAGGAGGAAUCACUUCUAAAAUCUCCAUUCGUUUUAUGAAGACAAAAAUGUUUCAAUGGAAGUUUAAGAAGGAAAAAAGGAAUUUUCAUGUCAAAUUGAUCCAAGUGAUUUGGAAGAUGAUAUCUUUUUAUUUUCAUCAGUAAUUUAAUGGACUAUGGUGCCAAGGGAAUGUAUGAUGGGAUAACUUAUACUGCCAUAGGAUAAAUAAAUGAUAUGUAAGAUCAAUGCAGUAUUUGAUAAUAAUAAUAAUUUAUUUGCACACAAGAAAUUCAUAAAAACAUACGCCAUCAAAAGUUUACAUGGCUUGUCAAUCAAAAAAUCUUAAACUAUAAAUGAGUAGUAUUGAAAGUCAUUGUAAUGAAAACAUGAAUAUGUUUGUAGUUACAAAUUAUCAAAUAAUAUUUACAAAAAUGAUUCCUAAAUAAAUCACUCAACCUGUA